ACGGGAGGCGCAGUGGGGAAUAUUGGACAAUGGGGGAAACCCUGAUCCAGCGACGCCGCGUGAGUGAAGAAGUAUUUCGGUAUGUAAAGCUCUAUCAGCAGGGAAGAUAAUGACGGUACCUGACUAAGAAGCCCCGGCUAAAUACGUGCCAGCAGCCGCGGUAAUACGUAUGGUGCAAGCGUUAUCCGGAUUUACUGGGUGUAAAGGGUGCGUAGGUGGUAUGGCAAGUCAGAAGUGAAAUGCGGGGGCUCAACCCCUGAACUGCUUUUGAAACUGUCAAACUAGAGUGCAGGAGAGGCAAGCGGAAUUCCUAGUGUAGCGGUGAAAUGCGUAGAUAUUAGGAGGAACACCAGUGGCGAAGGCGGCUUGCUGGACUGUAACUGACACUGAGGCACGAAAGCGUGGGGAGCAAACAGGAUUAGAUACCCUGGUA
rnacentral:rRNA from 1 species